rfam:Schistosoma margrebowiei strain Zambia genome assembly, scaffold: SMRZ_scaffold0000039
CCACUGCUGAGGAGUCCCAUACUAGGACGAAACGGCCUUCCAGUGC